rnacentral:rRNA from 1 species
GCUUGCUUAAAGGGGCCGUAGCUCGAUAUGCAAGUCCCUUGAGAAAUCCGCCAGCUUAACUGGCGGGCGUUCAGGGGAGACUGCAUUUCUAGGGACCGGGAGAGGUGAGAGGUACUGCCGGGGUAGGAGUGAAAUCCUGUAAUCCCGGUGGGACCACCUAUGGCGAAGGCAUCUCACCAGAACGGGUCCGACAGUGAGGGACGAAAGCUGGGGGAGCAAACCGGAUUAGAUACCCGGGUAGUCCCAGCUGUAAACGAUGCGCGUUAGGUGUGUCAGUGACCACGUGUCACUGAGGUGCCGAAGGGAAACCGUGAAACGCGCCGCCUGGGGAGUACGGUCGCAAGGUUGAAACUUAAAGGAAUUGGCGGGGGAGCACCACAACGGGUGGAGCCUGCGGUUUAAUCGGACUCAACGCCGGAAAUCUCACCGGAUAAGACAGCUGAAUGAUAGUCGGGAUGAAGACUCUACUUGACUAGCUGAGAGGAGGUGCAUGGCCGUCGUCAGUUCGUACUGUGAAGCAUCCUGUUUAGUCAGGCAACGAGCGAGACCCACGCCAACAGUUGCCAGCUUGACCUUCGGGUUGAUGGGGGCACUGUUGGGACCGCCUCUGCUAAAGGGGAGGAAGGAAUGGGCAACGGUAGGUCCGCAUGCCCCGAAAAGCC